CAACAGGGAUUGCCCUAGUAACGGCGAGUGAAGCGGCAACAGCUCAAAUUUGAAAUCUGGCUCUUUCAGAGUCCGAGUUGUAAUUUGCAGAGGGCGCUUUGGCUUUGGCAGCGGUCCAAGUUCCUUGGAACAGGACGUCACAGAGGGUGAGAAUCCCGUACGUGGUCGCUAGCUAUUGCCGUGUAAAGCCCCUUCGACGAGUCGAGUUGUUUGGGAAUGCAGCUCUAAAUGGGAGGUAAAUUUCUUCUAAAGCUAAAUAUUGGCCAGAGACCGAUAGCGCACAAGUAGAGUGAUCGAAAGAUGAAAAGCACUUUGGAAAGAGAGUCAAACAGCACGUGAAAUUGUUGAAAGGGAAGCGCUUGCAGCCAGACUUGCUUGCAGUUGCUCAUCCGGGCUUUUGCCCGGUGCACUCUUCUGUAGGCAGGCCAGCAUCAGUUUGGGCGGUGGGAUAAAGGUCUCUGUCACGUACCUUCCUUCGGGUUGGCCUUAUAGGGGAGACGCCAUACCACCAGCCUGGACUGAGGUCCGCGCAUCUGCUAGGAUGCUGGCGUAAUGGCUGUAAGCGGCCCGUCUUGAAACACGGACCAAGGAGUCUAACAUCUAUGCGAGUGUUUGGGUGUCAAGCCCGAACGCGUAAUGAAAGUGAACGGAGGUGGGAACCCGCAAGGGUGCACCAUCGACCGAUCCUGAAGUUUACGGAAGGAUUUGAGUAAGAGCAUGGCUGUUGGGACCCGAAAGAUGGUGAACUAUGCUUGAAUAGGGUGAAGCCAGAGGAAACUCUGGUGGAGGCUCGCAGCGGUUCUGACGUGCAAAUCGAUCGUCAAAUUUGGGCAUAGGGGCGAAAGACUAAUCGAACUAUCUAGUAGCUGGUUUCCUGCC
rnacentral:rRNA from 2 species